AUAUACAUUAUCUGGAGACCUUGCAGCAAUGCAGAUUCUGGUUCAGUAGGUCUUGUGUUGGGCUGAGAUACUGCAUUUAUAACAAGCUUCCAGAUGAUGCUAAU
rnacentral:pre_miRNA from 1 species